UUGGUUCAGUCAAUCCCUUGCAUCUCGGCUAAUCCAUCUCGCGAGAGGGAGGCGCCUGAAGGCGACGACGCCGGCGCCGGCGCAAGUACCUGGGCGACGACGCCGGCGCGAGGUCAUGUCGGCGAAACCCCGACUGGGCUUGGUCGUAGUGGCCGCUCCCCGACGCCCCCGCGGAUGCCAGGGCGAGGUCCUGGGAGACGCCGGCGCCGCGCAUGGACCUGGGCGACGACACCGGCGCGAGGUCCUGGAGGCAAACCCCUGGCUGGGCAUGGUCGUAGUGGUCGACCAAUGGAGGAAGUGAUUGUGGACGUCCAUGAUGGAAGUUGCAGUGCAGGGACUUGUUUCAACGGCGGCAUUUUGAGGUCAUGUACAUAUGAAGAUAGGAAAUACCGUUGGUGAGGUGGAGCAGACGAGCGAGCGAGACCGCAGUUUCUUGUUCUUGCAGCAGAUGCAUUCUUAUUGGAUCAUUUCUUCUGACUAUAAUGAAUGCCUAAUCUUAUGGUUAUAUGAGCGGCAUUGUUUUGAUGAACUAGGCCAUGUGGUGUUCCACCCAUGUAGCUUGAUUGCAUUCUUCAAACGUGGCAAAAGUAAUGAGUUGCAUUUUUAUUUGUGGGUUUAUUUGUGUGCGUUGGGGGUUGUAUUGCUUACCUUGCGGUUUACAGAAAUUUAGACGGGCGCAUGGCCUUGUUAGGCGUUGUAUUGCUGGGGCUCCUGAAGAUUGAUAAAGCUGGAGCUGCUGGAUUGCACGUCUAUUCUUAUCAUUGCCUCGUUAUAUAA